rnacentral:sRNA from 1 species
CACUAUAAGGCCAUACAAGCUGUAUUUCGUGUCAUUUAGAUUGGCGUUCAAGAUGAAAACUUUAGCAAUUUACUUCAAAGUAUUCUUCCUUGGAAUGAUACUAAUUUUUCAACAUGUAGAGGGAAAUUUGGCUGAUGAACCGGUCCAGACACAGCAUUCUCCUGUAAAAAGAAGACAGAAAUACGAUUGUUCAUGGGGGAGGAGUUGAAAGUGCGAUGUAUAUUCCCGAGUUUACCUUUCGAACACCAUCACCACUAUUAAUACGGUACCUAAGACAAUCACCACGAUCGAGAGUGUGCCAAAGUCUCCGAAAAAAUAGACAGAUAAACAUGUGACUUGGAGGGAAUAUGAAUGAAUACUCUGCAACAAUAAGAAACUAAUUCUGAGGUCGUGAAAUAUUAACUGUUCGGCUUAGUUCUAACAUGCGCACGAACAAUGCAUAUCUUAAAAGCUUUAUUCAUGUCAAGAUAAACUUUACGGAAAUCGUGUUUAUUAUUAAUAGAAUGAAAUGCAUAUUGAUGUGGUGACAUUUUAAAAUGUUAUGAUACAUGUCAUUGAAGUUUUUAACUGUAAGUUUUUAAGAGUAAAAAUACUGCUGUAUUCAUCAAGUUUGGCUAUUUUUAAAUCAUCAUUUUGAAACAAAAAAAAAUCAAUAAAAUAAAAAUAAUAUAAUG